UGGCUAAUCAUGUCUUUGCACAUUUCAGGACGUUGAAACCCUUUGAGUAUAAAGCCUUCAAACACAGCGGUUUUUAAACAGGGUUUUGCAGAUUUAAUACAGGAGCCAAGUUUGGCUUGCAAUUAAAAGUAAAAGUAAAAUAAGAGCCAGAGUUAAGCGUAGUAGUUAAGGACUGAAAGAGUUUAAGUUGUCCAAAAUGAUGAAUGCUUUCAUAGCCUGCCUUGCUGCUUGUCUGUUGCAUGAGGUGUGCAGUGCAUCAACACCUGUGUCUUGGUGCUAUCAUAGGCCUUCAUGUAGUAAGUGGGUUUU